GAUGAACGCUGGCGGUGUGCCUAAUACAUGCAAGUCGAGCGAACAGACGAGGAGCUUACUCCUCUGACGUUAGCGGCGGACGGGUGAGUAACGCGUGGAUAACCUACCUAUAAGACUGGGAUAACUUCGGGAAACCGGAGCUAAUACCGGAUAACAUGUUGAACCGCAUGGUUCAACAGUGAAAGACGGUCUUGCUGUAACCUAUAGAUGGAUCCGCGUCUCAUUAGAAAGUUGGUAAGGUGACGGCUUACCAAGGGAACGAUGCGUACCCGACCUGGGAGGGUGAUCGGCCACACGGGAACUGAGACACGGUCCAGACUCCUACGGGAGGCACCAGUGGGGAAUCUACCGCAAUGGGCAAAAGCCGAACGGAGCAACGCCGCGUGAGUGAAAAAGGUCUUCGGAUCGAAAAACUCUGUUAUAAGGAAAGAACAAAUGUGUAAUUAACUAUGCACGACGUGACGGUACCUAAUCAGAAAGCCACGGCUAACUACGUG
rnacentral:rRNA from 1 species